rnacentral:rRNA from 1 species
UACGUAGGGUGCAAGCGUUAAUCGGAAUUAUUGGGCGUAAAGGGUGCGCAGGCGGAUGUAUAAGUCAGAUGUGAAAUCCCCGGGCUUAACCUGGGAAUUGCGUUUGAAACUAUAUGACUAGAGUGUGAUAGAGGGGAGUGGAAUUCCAUGUGUAGCAGUGAAAUGCGUAGAGAUGUGGAAGAACACCGAUGGCGAAGGCAGCUCCCUGGAUUAACACUGACGCUCAUGCACGAAAGCGUGGGGAGCAAACAGGAUUAGAAACCCCUGUAGUCC